AUUGAACGCUGGCGGCAUGCCUUACACAUGCAAGUCGAACGGCAGCGGACCUUCGGGUGCCGGCGAGUGGCGAACGGGUGAGUAAAGUAUCGGAACGUACCUUUCAGUGGGGGAUAACGUAGCGAAAGUUACGCUAAUACCGCAUAUUCUGUGAGCAGGAAAGCAGGGGAUUGCAAGACCUUGCGCUGAUUGAGCGGCCGAUAUCAGAUUAGCUAGUUGGUGAGGUAAAGGCUCACCAAGGCGACGAUCUGUAGCGGGUCUGAGAGGAUGAUCCGCCACACUGGAACUGAGACACGGUCCAGACUCCUACGGGAGGCAGCAGUGGGGAAUUUUGGACAAUGGGGGCAACCCUGAUCCAGCCAUGCCGCGUGAGUGAAGAAGGCCUUCGGGUUGUAAAGCUCUUUCGGCCGGGAAGAAAUCGCGCCAGUUAAUACCUGGUGUGGAUGACGGUACCGGAAUAAGAAGCACCGGCUAACUACGUGCCAGCCGCCGCGGUAA
rnacentral:rRNA from 1 species